rnacentral:rRNA from 1 species
CCGGGGCUUAUUCUCCCGAUACUGUCAUUAUCAUCUCGGGUAAAAGAGCUUUACAACCCUAGGGCCUUCAUCACUCACGCGGCAUUGCUGGAUCAGGGUUGACCCCAUUGUCCAAUAUUCCCUACUGCUGCCUCCCGUAGGAGUCUGGGCCGUGUCUCAGUCCCAGUGUGGCUGAUCAUCCUCUCAGACCAGCUAAGGAUCGUCGCCUUGGUAGGCCUUUACCCCACCAACUAGCUAAUCCUACGCGGGCUCAUCCUUGGGAGAUAUAUCUUUGGACUUCGACAUCAUCCGGUAUUA